CCUGAGAGUACGUAGCGCGGGUACAGACGAGGCUCCGGCUCGGCCGAGAAGCCACCGUGGUGCGCCUGCGCGGCAGCCUUAGCUCCUGGGCCGAAUCGAACUCCAAGGUAGGAUGCGCGCUAGACCGCAGAAGGCUCCGUCGUCUAGAAGCUGAAGGAGUGGGAACGAAACUGCCGGAUCAGCAUUCUGGGAGAGAGAAGGAGGCUUCCUGAGCAACUCUUGAGUUCCUUGUCCCAGCCUCCUGGAGUGAAGAAGAGGAGCCCCUGAGAAGCCAGAGUUCUGUGACAAACAAGUCACAGCUAAAGCCAUUCAUUAUGUGAAGGAGCAAAUUCCACCCUGUCUUCCACUGUGAACUACGUGUAGUGGACACAUGGCAAGUUUACUCUGCAGCAGGGGUUCUUAGUCCCAAGAGCCAUCUGGUGAAAUCUAUCCACCCUUUCUCAGAAUGUUUUUAAAUGCAUAAAAUAAAAUACAUAGGAUUACAAAGGAAA